GCUAAUUUGUGCAUCCAAUUGGCUGGCUGGCUGCGUAUUGAAGAGGGAAGAACGAAGAAGACCCCCGGCGGCACAACCUCUGCCCCCACGCCGAAGCCUGUUGCUUCCUCCGCCUCUCGCCACUGGCUUCAUGGAAGAAGAUCGCCGCCUCUCCCGCUCAGCCCCUCUCCGCCGGCUUCAGAGAAGAAGAGAGCCGCUGCAUCUCUGAAGCUGCUCGCCGUCGCCCUCUCUGCCGGCUCUCACCGCUGCCCUUUAUGAAGCUUGCGGCUGCAGGGCCGUCGCCUACCACCGCCACCUACUGCUGCAUCCUCCCUCUCUGCCGCCUCUCGCCGCCGCCGCACAUCCCCUCCCUCUCUACCGCCGCCACACAGGUUUGAUUAUUAGGUUUUCUUAAACAAAAAUUCGAGCCUAUUUGUUGAUUUUCAUUGGAUCGGAAAUUUGAAGCUUCUAUGGACGGCUUGGCAAGAACACUGGACGGAUUCAUGUUGAUGUUUUCCAAACUGCCUCAGAAAUUGAACUGGUGAAAGAAAAUAUGGUUGAAAGAACAGUAGAGAAGAGGCAGGAGGUACAGGCUGCAUCUGACCAGCCUUACUUUCCAUUGCCGAAGUUGGAGAUUUCGAUGUUUGACUGUCGAAACCCUAGGUUGUGGGUUAGACGGUGUCAAAAGGUUUUUACCUUGUAUAAUAUACCGGAUCAGCAAGUAAUAAUUACUUCUGCUUAUUUGAACGAUGUGGCGGAUGCGUGGUUUCAAGGACGGAUCCGGUUACGAGAUAAUUGUCAAUGGAUUGACUUUGUGGAGGACUUUUGUGAACGAUUUGCUGACAGAAACAUGACCGAUGUGGAAGAAUUUAAUAAAUUUAGGCAGGAGAACUCUGUUCAACUUUUCAGAUGAAGUUUGAGGAGCUUAAGUCCUUGAUGCUAAACCUUAAUCCCUACCUAACUGAGGCAUAUUUCAUCUCAAGUUUCAUUAGUGGCUUGAGCGAAGAAUUGAGGCCUACAAUUAAAAUGCUACAUCCAAAAACUAUAAAACAGGAAGCUGACAAUGCUUGAUUACAGGAACCUACUGUAGAAGCCUUAAUGAAGAAGCGGAGAAUUCAUAUAAGAGGAACAAGUUCAAAUUCUUUGUUGAAUCGUGGAUUUAACAAAGUGGCAGCCAAGAACAAUAAGAAUUUCAAGAAUUUAACAGCUCAUCCAAAUGUUAUUUCAAAUCAGCGGAUAGGAGGAAUGUUUGGCAACGUGGAGCAAUGUAGGCAAGUUGGUUUAUGUUAUAAAUGUGGAGAAAAAUACAUGCUGGGACAUUAGUGUAAGAUGUAGUUCUUACUGUUGGAAGGAGAAGAGGAAACAAAAGAAGUGGAGGAAUUGCCAGCAGUUGAAACUGAAAUUGAAGAAGCGGAUAAUGGAGAAAUAUCAUUGCAUGCUCUAAGAGGCUUAGCCAACAUCGAGAUUAUUAAGGUGGAGGGAAAGGUAUGCAGCUAUAAGCUAAUGACACUGAUUGAUAGUGGAAGCACACAUAGUUUCUUGGAUGAAAAUACAGCUAAGAAAAACUAGGUUGUAGGUUUACCAGUACUCAACCUCUAUCAAUGACAGUGACCAAUGGCAUUAAGGUGAUUAGCAAAUUCUCUUGUAUCGACUUUUAGCGGGAAAUGCAGGGGGAGAUAUUUACAAUUGAUUUGAUGUAAAAACCUCUAUCUUUGCAAGCUUACAUUUUGUUAUUGUUUGAUUAAGGGUUUAGUUAGUUUAAAAUUUGACUUCCUUGUUAAGUCAUAAUGAAUAUAAAAAUCAAAUUUUUGUGUAUUGAUGAACAAUGAGAACAGAACUUCGUCCUUCUCGAGGAAAAAAAAAACAGGCCUUAGUCCCAAAAGGUUGGGUCAAAUUAUUAUAUAUAUAUAUAAUUUAUCAACUUUCCAACUAUCUCUAUAUUUAUGACUAUAUUUUCUAAAUAUUUAGGUAUUAUAUGUUUUGUAAUGCAUGUUAUUCUAGUGGGAAUUUUUGUGCACUAAUUAAUGCAUUAGAAUUUUUGGAACGAACUUGUUCUCUAAAUUUGCAAAUGCUUGUCAUGAACAGCUUAAACAGUCGGUUGAACGUCUUGAACAAGCUUUACGACUUCUGAGGGGCAUGAACCAACAUUGCGAUGAAUCAAUGAAUUCGUCUGAUAAGUUUUCAUUCUCCCUUGACCGUGAAGAUCUAACCCUACAAAUUUUCAUUCCGUCACUAUUUGAUUAAUUAUGUAAUUUGUUUAAAAUUUAGCUUUCUUGUUAAGUCAUAAUAAAUGUAAAACCAAAUUUUUGUGUAUUGAUGAACAAUGACAACAGUAGGACUUCGCUCUUCUUGGGGAAACAGACGAGCCUUAGUGUCACUAGGUGUGGCGGAAUUAUUAUAUAUAUAAAAAAAUUAUUGACUUUUUAACUGUCUUUAUAUUUAUGACUAUAUUUUAUGAAUAUAUAGGCUAUUACAUGUCUUGUAAUGCAUGUUAGCCUAGUUGAAAAUUUUCAUGCACUAAUUAAUGCAUUAGAAUUUUUGGAACUUACUUGUUCUCCGAAUUUGGGUGUGCCUAUCCACCAACUCGAGAUAACACUUCUAGUCCUAAAACAAGUGGCAGCAGAUUAACCUCCACCACAGAUUCAUUUCCAAACGAAGCUUGUCAAGAGGAAUGCAUCAUUGACACGAGAACUAUUGAAUGUUGUGAUAGUGAUGGCAAUGUCGACACUGUUGGUGAUGAGACUCUACAACCUUUUGCAAGUCCUAAUGAUGAACCAUCACAUUCAUGGUUCAAGAUUAUCAAUUGUGUUUUAGUAGUAUUAUCAAUUGACUUUUGCACCAUUUGCGAGAGCUUUGACCAGUUGAGGAUUCAUGGCCAUAAUCAUUGGCAGGGAUUGUAAUUCCAGCCUUUGCUUCAAUUGGUUUCAAUAGUGGCUCAAUAUCAGCUUUCACAAAGGUUGCUAAUGCAUUGACCUUUUCAGCUAGUUUAAUUGCAUUUUCGCACUUCCAUGAUAGGAGAGAAGCAGCCCCUCGAUACCUAGUUAAGCUUAGGGACACUGCUUAUGCAAGUUUGAUAUUUGUGACCAUUGUGAACGAUCUUCCAACACUUGCUAUGUGGGCUGUCACGGUUGCUUUUUUCAUCGUAGUUUCCCUGGUAAUCAAUACUUGAGAGUAAUCACAUUAUUCAACAUAAAACGUGUUUAAUAAACAAUGUUAUCAGAGAAGAAUGCAUAGAUGCAUUUACCUCAUAUAUAUCGAAGCAAAAGGCGUGAAAAAUGUACCAAAUUUGGAGGAACACAUACGAGUCAAAUGCAUUUGUGCGUUCUUCUUUGGUAACAUUGUUUAUUAAGCAGGUUUCAUGUUGAAUAAGGUGAUUACUUUCAAGCAUUGAUCACCAGGGCGACCGCAAUGAGAAAUACCACUGUGACGACCCACAUAGCGGACGCUGAAAGAUCGUUCACAAUGGCUACAUAUAUCACACUUGCAUAAGUAGUGGCCUCAAGCUUAACUAGUUAUCGGGGGACUGCUUCUGCCCUGUCAUGGCGGAGCAAAAAUGCAGUCAAGCUAGCUAAAAAGGCCACUGCAGUAGCAACCUUUGUGAAAAUCGAUGAUGAGCCACUAUUGAAACUAGUUGAAGCAGAGGCUAGAAUGAUCAUCCCUACCAACAAUUUUGUCCAUAAAUCCUUAGCUGGUCAAGCUCUCGCGAAUGAUGCAGAAGCUAAUUGAUAACACUCCUAGGAGCAUAAUUGAUAAUCUUAAGCUAACAUGAUGACUCAUCAUUGAGACUUGCAGGUGGUUGUAGAGUCUCAUCACCAGCAUUGCCAUCACUACCGCAACCUUCAAUAGCUCUGAUGUCAAUGAUGCAUUCCUCUAGACAAAUUUCGUUUGGAAAUGAAUCUAUGGUAGGGGUUAAUCUGCUACCCAGGACCAGAAGUGUCAUCUAGAGUUGGCAGAUAGGCACACUCAACUUUGGAGAAUAGGUAAGUUGCAAAAAUGUAAUGCAUUAAUUAGUGCAUGAAAAAUUUCUACUAGUUUAAAAUGCAUUACAAGACAUAUAAUAGUCUAUAUAUUCUAAAAAUAUAGAGACAGUUGAAAAUUUCUAAGGCUAGUUUUUUUUUUAUUGAAAAGGACAAAGUCCUGCUGUUGUCAUUAUUCAUCAAUAUACAGAAAUUUAGUUUUACAUUUAUUAUGACUUAACAAGGAAGCUAAAUUUUAAACUAACUAAACAAUUGAUCAAACAAUGAUAAAAUGAAAAUUUGCAGGGAUAGGUCUUCACAGUCAAGGGAGAAUGAAAACUUACCAGUCAUAUUCCUUGAUUCAUCGUAGUGUUGGUUCAUGUCCCUCAGAAUUUGUAAAGCCUGUUCAAAUCGUUCAACUGAUUGUUUAACUUGUUCACGACAGGCACCUACAAAUUUGGAGAACAUUUAAGUUCCAAAAAUUCUAGUGCAUAAAAAUUUUCACUAGGCUAACAUCCAUUACAAGAGAUAUAAUAGCCUAUAUAUUUAGAAAACAUAGUCAUAAAUAUAAAGAUAGUUGAAAGUUAAUAAUUUAUAUAUAUAUUAAUUCCAACCCACCUGGUGACACUAAGGACUAUUUUUUUUUCCACAAGAAGGAUCAAGUCGUGUUAUUGUCAAUGUUCGUCAAUACAAAGAAAUUGGGUUUUACAUUUAUUAUGACUUAGCAAGAAAGUCAAAUUUUAAACUAAAUAUUAAUCAAAUAGUGACAGAAUGAAAACUUGCAAGGAUAGGUUUUCACAAUUAAGGAAGAAUGAAAACUUAUCAGGCACAUUCCUUAAUUCAUCGUAGUGUUGGUUCAUGCCCCUCAGAAGUCGUAAAACUUGUUCAAGCCAUUUAAUCGACUGUUUAAUUUGUUCAUGACAAGCAUUUGCAAAUUUAGAGAACAAAUAAAUUCCAAUAAUUCUAAUGCAUUAAUUAGUGCAUAAAAAUUUUCACUAGGCUAACAUGCAUUAUAGUGGGAUAAAGGUUAGAUAUGUUGUUUUAGGCUAACAUGCAUUAUAAAACAUAUGAUAGCCUAUAUAUUCAAAAAAGUUGUGUAAUUUCAGUUUUGCUUGCUUUGUUCCUCGCAUGAUUUUGAUCUUUCUUCUUGUUUUGCAUGCCUUCAAGGUCUCACUCUACCUUUUACCUAGUGUAAGGUUUUGACAACAAAUGGUUGACAAACAUGUAGUUUUGGUGUUAAAAGAUAAAAAAAAAAAAAAAAAACAAACAAAACAA